UACGUAGGGGGCAAGCGUUGUCCGGAAUUAUUGGGCGUAAAGAGCUCGUAGGCGGUUCGUCGCGUCUGCCGUGAAAACCCGAGGCUUAACCUCGGGCCUGCGGUGGAUACGGGCGGACUAGAGGUAGGUAGGGGAGAAUGGAAUUCCCGGUGUAGCGGUGAAAUGCGCAGAUAUCGGGAGGAACACCGGUGGCGAAGGCGGUUCUCUGGGCCUUACCUGACGCUGAGGAGCGAAAGCGUGGGGAGCGAACAGG
rnacentral:rRNA from 1 species